CCUACGGGAGGCAGCAGUGAGGAAUAUUGGUCAAUGGGCGCGAGCCUGAACCAGCCAAGUAGCGUGAAGGAUGACUGCCCUACGGGUUGUAAACUUCUUUUAUAAAGGAAUAAAGUGAGGCACGUGUGCCUUUUUGUAUGUACUUUAUGAAUAAGGAUCGGCUAAAUCCGUGCCAGCAGCCGCGGUAAUACGGAGGGUCCGAGCGUUAUCCGGAUUUAUUGGGUUUAAAGGGAGCGUAGGAUGGAUGUUAAGUCCGUUGUGAAAGUUUGCGGCUCAACCGUAGCAUUGCAAUUGAUACUGGCAGCCUUGAGUACAGUUGAGGUAGGCGGAAUUCGUGGUGUAGCGGUGAAAUGCUUAGAUAUCACGAAGAACUCCGAUUGCGAAGGCAGCUUACUAAACUGCCACUGACAUUGAUGCUCGAAAGUGUGGGUAUCAAACAGGAUUAGAUACCCCUGUAGUC
rnacentral:rRNA from 1 species